UUGAUGUUUAGAGAGCCAGAGUAUUUUUUCCUAUGAAGAGGGAAACACGAGCUUCUGUUCAACUAUAUUUGAGUGCUCAAACUUCUUGCUGAUGAAUUCAUAUAUGAGACUACGGCUAUAUGUGCGGACUUGAAAAUGACCAGCUAGAUGCUUAAACCAUAUUAUGACCAGCUGGCAGGCAAGUCUAUGUCAACAGGUGGUCCUCUCUUUCAAACCAUCUGUAAUGACUCUCCUAGACUCCUUCAAGUUCCAUUAGAAGUUGCAAGGACAAGACAACGACAACUCUGAAUCAUCUCAAAGAAGGUCUAUUGGAUAUGGCUAUGAUAAGAAAAGUUGUUCUAAUAUAUGGAGACCAGUAGCACAUUGCCACCGUCGCCUAGCUAAGAUUUUGCAAUACAAUGGAGAAAACGAGGAAGGCCGAUGCUCUUUAUUUUGUUUCACGUUGUCUUAGGAAUUACUUUUGAGUGUAACUAUAUUUUCGUAUCAAAAUAUUUUUUUGAUGCCACCUCUUCAUUUUGCAUCUUGUUGUAACUUUGAUCAUAAGCAGAUACAUACUAGAUUUCAUACUACAGUGCAAAUCUUGUGACUUCGAACAAACGAAGCAUGCACAAUUAGACUAUUACACUAACCAACAUUGUAUUACAGGGCAAUUUCGCGUGCCAUUUUCUAUUACCACUAUUGGAAUGUGCAUAUAUCUUGUGCCGUGUUUUUUAUAGCUGCCUUCUUAUUUGUGUUGCUCUAUCGUUUCAUUUGGCUGCAGGGUUUCUGAGUGUCUCGAAGUACUGUUUUACUAAGUUGUGCAACAAGUCCUAGCUUGCUAUUGGGAACUGCAGUUGCUUGCAUCUAUUUAUCCGACCCAGGUCUAGGUGAAUCUGCCUCUUACCCGUGGAGACAAGCUUGAUGCAGCUACUGACGUCUCCAGCCGUUGAGAUUAGCAUGCACCUGACCGGCGAGGAGGCGCCCCAAGAAAAGCUUCUUACGAUUGUGAACGAUACGCUUCUCCACUUCAAAGGAAGAGGCAAGUCCGAGUCAUUUGAAUCUUCAAAUGGAGAGGCUGAUCCUCACACAUAAAGGCGAUGCUGCAUCAGAGUUCAUUAGACACAUAUAUAUUGUUCUUGCUCCCGAUCAGAAUGGUAACAUGAUAUUCUGGCAAAUCUCUGUUGAACCAUACUCUACAUAUAGCUACUUUUUUUUGUCUGUAUUUUACUUCGUACAUUGAUCUUGCGUUUGUAGCUACACCAGCACUUGUUCAAGAUAAUUGUGGUUAAGUUCUAAUUCAUUACCUGCUGAAUACAAAGUCAAUGUAAGCCUAACUUAUUACCAUUCCAGCUAUGUAUGUUUCUAUGACUAA